GGCUACAUCAAAUUGAAACACCUGUUCUCGUAUGAUCACCAGAAGUUAAGCAAUGUUGAGCCUGUUCAAUAUCUAAAUGGAUGACUGCUUGGGAAUAUCAGGUGCUGCAA